GACGAACGCUGGCGGCGCGCUUAACACAUGCAAGUCGAACGGAAAGGCCCUGCUUUUGGGGGGUGCUCGAGUGGCGAACGGGUGAGUAACACGUGAGUAACCUGCCCUUGACUUUGGGAUAACUUCAGGAAACUGGGGCUAAUACCGGAUAGGAGCCCCUGCUGCAUGGUGGGGGUUGGAAAGUUUCGGCGGUUGGGGAUGGACUCGCGGCUUAUCAGUGUGUUGGUGGGGUAGUGGCUUACCAAGGCUUUGUCGGGUUGCCGGCCUGAGAGGGUGAACGGCCACAUUGGGCAUGAGAUACGGACCAGGCUGCUACGGGAGGCAGGCGUGGGGAAUAUUGCCCAGUCGGCGGAAGCCUGCUGCAGCCACGCCGCGUGCGGGAAGACAGCCUUCGGGUUGUACACCGCUUUCGCCUGUGACGAAGCGUGAGUGACGGUAAUGGGUAAAGAAGCAGCGGCUAACUACGU
rnacentral:rRNA from 1 species